AAGACCCUGUGUGUCCUGCUCAUCCCCUUCUUUGCGACUAAUGACAUUGAGCCAUUCACCGAGCUUGCCAUUCGCCUCGCCGCAUCUAGGCCAAAUGCCGGUGUGAGACCAACCAUCGCAGUCACACCGGCGAAUGUCUCUGUCGUCCAAUCCGUGCUGGAGCGACGACUACACGGGCAUAAUCCAGCAGCUAUCAAGAUCGUUACUUAUCCGUUCCCAGUGGUGGACGGCCUCCCGAAGGGUGUCGAGAACCUCGGAAAGGCAUCCACGCCUGCUGAUUCAUUACGCAUCAACCUCGCUGCCCUAAGCGAUGCCCUGAUGCGCCCGCCGCAGGAGACCCUCAUCCGGGCGCUGUCCCCGGACGCCAUCUUCACCGACAUGAACUUCACCUGGAGCUCCGACAUUGAUAACGAGCUUGGUGUGCCAUGUGUCGCGUUCAAUGUCAUGGGGGCCUUCCCAAUGCUUGCCGUGCGCCACCUUAUCAUGGACGACGUUGCCAUCGAUGACAACGAUGCCGCAACGAUCCCUCGGUUUCCGGUCCCUCAUAUACGGAUCCCGAGGACCGAGCUGCCGGACAUCUUGAGGAGUCGAAACUAUGACGCCAGCAAUACGGUUCAUUCGAUGCAAGCUGACUGCUUUGGCAUUGCCAUCAACACAUUUUCAGACCUGGAGCAGCAGUACUGUGAGAUGUACGUGCGUGAAGGGUACGUGAAGCACGCAUACUUUAUAGGGCCUCUCUCGCUGCAACUGCAACCAUCACAGGCCGCCAAAGGUGUUGCCGACUCACGGUUCAUCGAUUGGCUUGACAGAAAGCCUAACCAUUCGGUGGUCUACUUGUCCUUCGGCACAUGUGCCCACAUAUCGGAUGCGCAGCUGGACGAGCUUGCUCUUGGGCUGGAGGCCUCAAGACGGUCGUUCAUGUGGGUGGUCAGGGCGGCCGAGAAGUGGGCUCCACCGAAAGGGUGGGAGAAGCGUGUUGAAGACCGGGGGCUCAUCAUCAGAGUGUGGGCUCCACAAAAGGCUAUACUAGCGCACUCGGCGGUGGGUGCAUUUGUGACGCAGUGUGGGUGGAACUCUGUCCUAGAGGCAGUGGCUGCGGGCGUGCCGAUGCUCACGUGGCCAAAGGUGUACGAGCAGUUCAUCACCGAGAGGCUAAUCACGGAAGUACUAGGGAUCGGUGAGCGGCUCUGGCCGCUUGGAGCCGGCUUAUGAAGUGAGAAUUACCGAAAACAUGAGGUAAUCCCGGCCGAUGAUGUGACGCGGGCAUUGAUCACAUUCAUGAGUCCGGGAGGACCAGGGGACAUGGCGAGGAACAAGGUAAUGGACCUUGUAUCUAAGUCUCAUUCAGCCAUGGCAGAAGGAGGCUCCUCGCACCGUGAUUUGCACCGUCUGGUUGACGAUCUCAUGGCAGCUAGAGGAGCCAAGGGAUCUCGCCUCUAA
rnacentral:rRNA from 1 species